GAGUUUGAUCCUGGCUCAGGAUGAACGCUGGCGGUAUGCUUAACACAUGCAAGUCGAACGGAUGUUUUCGGACAUUAGUGGCGGACGGGUGAGUAACGCGUGAGAAUCUAGCUUCAGGUUGGGGACAACAGUUGGAAACGACUGCUAAUACCGAAUGUGCCGAGAGGUGAAAGAUUUAUUGCCUGAAGAAGAGCUCGCGUCUGAUUAGCUAGUUGGUGGGGUAAGAGCUUACCAAGGCGACGAUCGGUAGCUGGUCUGAGAGGACGAUCAGCCACACUGGGACUGAGACACGGCCCAGACUCCUACGGGAGGCAGCAGUGGGGAAUUUUCCGCAAUGGGCGAAAGCCUGACGGAGCAAUACCGCGUGAGGGAAGAAGGCUCUUGGGUUGUAAACCUCUUUUCUGAGGGAAGAAAAAAAUGACGGUACCUCAGGAAUCAGCAUCGGCUAACUCCGUGCCAGCAGCCGCGGUAAUACGGAGGAUGCAAGCGUUAUCCGGAAUGAUUGGGCGUAAAGCGUCCGCAGGUGGCAUAUCAAGUUUGCGGUUAAAGGUUCUGGCUCAACCAGAAACAGGCCGUGAAAACUGAUAAGCUAGAGUAUGGUAGGGGCAGAGGGAAUUCCCAGUGUAGCGGUGAAAUGCGUAGAGAUUGGGAAGAA
rnacentral:rRNA from 1 species